rnacentral:lncRNA from 1 species
UCGGAUAUUUAUUUAGGAUUAAUUUCAAACGUGUCCCUACAAAUAUAGUAAAUGACAAAUAUAACUCCACAAAUUUCAACUUUUAUAUAUCAUCUCUAUAAAACUUCUAAUAUUUUUAAAUAUAUUUAUCUGAUUUGUUAUCAUUAGAAAUAGAACCGUUUAUAUUUUUAAUUUUAUCAUCACAAAUAUAUCUCUCGAAAAAUCAUACUAGUAUAAUAUAAAGAAGUAAAAAUGUCAAAAACUAACUGGGGUUAAAUAUUUAAUCUAUGGUUAGCUAACUUUUUCUAACAAAUUCUAACGGUAGAGACGUAUUUAAAAACAUCGUGAUUUUUACAGAAAAUAUAUGAAAGUUGAACUUUAUGGAAAUAUAUUUAUUAUUCACUAUAUUUACAAAAAUAUGUACAAAAUUAAUCCAUUUAUUUAUUUUUAUUUCUCUUUUUUUUAAAAAUUAAACUAGUGAAAUU